UGCGUAAUAGCUCACUGGUCGAGUGAUGAUGCGCCGAAGAUUCAACGGGGCUCAAACUUACUACCGAAGCUUGGGAAUAGUGGUAACACUAUUGGUAGAGGAGCAAUGUAUGCGGGCUGAAGCCAUAUCGAAAGGGGUGGUGGACUGCAUACAAGAGAGAAUGCCGGCAUGAGUAGCGAGAGUAAAGUGAGAAACUUUACCGUCGAAUGCCUAAGGUUUCCUGGGGAAGGUUCGUCCUCCCAGGGUAAGUCGGGACCUAAGUCGAGGCCGAAAGGCGUAGAUGAUGGACAACUGGUAGAUAUUCCAGUACCACCGCACAUCGAUUAAGACCGAUGCAGUGACACAGUAGGAUAGUCAGACCACGGGGGUGGAAAUCCGUGGCUAAAUCAUGAGGCUGAUGCGCAGUGAAGUACACGCAUUGUAAGGCUGGGUGAUGAAUGGGACUGAAUUUAGUAAGGAAGCUGAUGAAUUCACACUGGCGAGAAAAACUGCUAAGGAGAUGUGAGGUGCCCGUACCGCAAACCGACACAGGUGGGCGAUGAGAGAAUCAUAAGACGGACGGGAUAACCCUUGUUAAGGAACUCGGCAAAAUGACCUCGUAACUUCGGGAGAAGAGGUGCCACCAGCAAUGGUGGCCGCAGUGAAACGGCCCAAGCGACUGUUUAUCAAAAACACAGGUCUCUGCGAAAGCGCAAGCUGACGUAUAGGGGCUGACGCCUGCCCAGUGCUGGAAGGUCAAGGGGAAGUGUUAGGAGCAUGAAAAACCAACGCACAGAACUUAAGCCCCAGUGAACGGCGGCCGUAACUAUAACGGUCCUAAGGUAGCGAAAUUCCUUGUCGGGUAAGUUCCGACCCGCAUGAAUGGCGUAACGACUUGGGCACUGUCUCAACAGGGGGCCCGGCGAAAUUGUAGUAUACGUGAAGAUGCGUAUUACCCGCGACUGGACGGAGAGACCCCGUAGAGCUUUACUGUAACCUGAUAUUGGAUUCUGGAAAUGAAUGUACAGGAUAGGUGGGAGGCUGUGAAGCGAGUGCGUCAGCAUUCGUGGAGCCAACCUUGGGAUACCACCCUUUUGUUUCUGGGGUUCUAACGACAUGCCGUGAUCCGGGUGUCGGACAGUGUCAGGCGGGCAGUUUGACUGGGGCGGUCGCCUCCUAAAGAGUAACGGAGGCGUCCAAAGGUUCCCUCAGAAUGGUUGGAAACCAUUCGCAGAGUAUAAAGGCAUAAGGGAGCUUGACUGCGAGACUUACAAGUCGAGCAGAUACGAAAGUAGGGCUUAGUGAUCUGGCGGUAGAUAAUGGAAUUGCCGUCACUUAUCGGAUAAAAGUUACCUCGGGGAUAACAGGCUUAUCCCACCCAAGCGUUCACAGCGACGGUGGGGUUUGGCACCUCGAUGUCGGCUCGUCAUAUCCUGGGGCUGUAGUUGGUCCCAAGGGUUCGGCUGUUCGCCGAUUAAAAUGGCACGCGAGCUGGGUUCAGAACGUCGUGAGACAGUUCGGUCCCUAUCCAUCGUGGGCGUAAGAUAUUUGAGAGGAUCUGCUCCUAGUACGCAAGGACCAGAGUGGACGUACCUAUGGUGUAUCAGUUGUCACGCCAGUGGCAUAGCUGGGUAGCGAAGUACGGAAAAGAUAAACGCUGAAAGCAUAUAAGCGUGAAACUUGCCUCAAGAUAAGAUAUCUCAUAUCAUAAGAUAGUAAGACCCCUUGU
rnacentral:rRNA from 1 species